rnacentral:rRNA from 1 species
AUGCAAGUCGAGCGGUAGCACAGAGAGCUUGCUCUCGGGUGACGAGCGGCGGACGGGUGAGUAAUGUCUGGGAAACUGCCUGAUGGAGGGGGAUAACUACUGGAAACGGUAGCUAAUACCGCAUAACGUCGCAAGACCAAAGUGGGGGACCUUCGGGCCUCAUGCCAUCAGAUGUGCCCAGAUGGGAUUAGCUAGUAGGUGGGGUAACGGCUCACCUAGGCGACGAUCCCUAGCUGGUCUGAGAGGAUGACCAGCCACACUGGAACUGAGACACGGUCCAGACUCCUACGGGAGGCAGCAGUGGGGAAUAUUGCACAAUGGGCGCAAGCCUGAUGCAGCCAUGCCGCGUGUGUGAAGAAGGCCUUCGGGUUGUAAAGCACUUUCAGCGGGGAGGAAGGCGGUGAGGUUAAUAACCUUGGCGAUUGACGUUACCCGCAGAAGAAGCACCGGCUAACUCCGUGCCAGCAGCCGCGGUAAUACGGAGGGUGCAAGCGUUAAUCGGAAUUACUGGGCGUAAAGCGCACGCAGGCGGUCUGUCAAGUCGGAUGUGAAAUCCCCGGGCUCAACCUGGGAACUGCAUUCGAAACUGGCAGGCUAGAGUCUUGUAGAGGGGGGUAGAAUUCCAGGUGUAGCGGUGAAAUGCGUAGAGAUCUGGAGGAAUACCGGUGGCGAAGGCGGCCCCCUGGACAAAGACUGACGCUCAGGUGCGAAAGCGUGGGGAGCAAACAGGAUUAGAUACCCUGGUAGUCCACGCCGUAAACGAUGUCGAUUUGGAGGUUGUGCCCUUGAGGCGUGGCUUCCGGAGCUAACGCGUUAAAUCGACCGCCUGGGGAGUACGGCCGCAAGGUUAAAACUCAAAUGAAUUGACGGGGGCCCGCACAAGCGGUGGAGCAUGUGGUUUAAUUCGAUGCAACGCGAAGAACCUUACCUGGUCUUGACAUCCACAGAACUUUCCAGAGAUGGAUUGGUGCCUUCGGGAACUGUGAGACAGGUGCUGCAUGGCUGUCGUCAGCUCGUGUUGUGAAAUGUUGGGUUAAGUCCCGCAACGAGCGCAA